AGGGGAGCGGCAACGGAUGAAGAGAUGACCAAUCACCGAGGAGGAAGGGAGAGGGCGGUGUUUCUGUAGCAGCUGUGGCAGCGGUGAUAGGACCACAGUUGCGCCAUUCAUAGUCUGGACUCCCUCCCUCCCUCGCUGGAGCUCCGCCCCCGACUCGCGUAGCCUCUGUAGCUAGCGGCUACUGGGCCUGGGAGGAAGCUCUAGUCCUUUUUCUUACCCAGUCCUGGGACGGUUCUUCAGCGUUCCGGACAACCGCGCUGUUGCCGCUGCCCCUUCCUGCGAACCAGGGCCUCGGGGAAAUGUGCCUCCUGCUUCACUUGAGAGAGAGUUCUGAACUGAAGAUAGGUGCUUAUGUAGAGGGUGGACACCAGAAGAGGAAUUCAAAAGACAGAAUCUUACCCCUAUGAGAAAACCUGGUCACGGGAAGAAUCCUGCAAGAAACAUUCAUGGAUACCUUGAAGGUCAAGGACAUCAUGUGAGCUACUCACAACUUUCACAGGAGAUUAAUCUGGAGGCUCAGGGAGUCAUAACAACAAGCCUCAAGACACUGCAAUGUCCAACUUUUACAGCCAGCGCAGCCUAUAUAUCCUGUAUAAUAAGAACCUCCAAGACUCAGCCCAGCAAUAUCUAAGGUAGCUGAGCAAUGACCCGAAGAAGGACAUUUCCAUCCUUGGAGACAAACCUUGUGUAAAAAUGGAGACUUGAAUCCAGGACUUUAAUCCCCAGAAGUCCUUGCUCCACUUCCCCAGAAUGCUUUGUAAUCUCCUUGUAACCUCACCUGGGCGGAGAGCAACUUGGCUCUCCACCUAGCAAGCAAGAUGUGAGUGAUCGUGAAUAGGCUCUCUGGGCCUAGACACAUGCCUUUCUUACUUGUGUUUUCUUUAUAUUUUAACCUUUAAUAAACCUCUAAAAAUAUAAUACUCCUUGCAGAGAGAAACUAAUUUCUUCCUGCCUCAGCUUCCCCUAAAUUUUAAUCAUAACACUUGUAGGUUUAAGAAUGACAGAGAUCCAGGGCUGAUGGGCAACAUUGUGAAUGUUCUACAACCUCAGUGCUUCUUGAAGAAUUUGUCCCCUAACAGGAGGAAGAAUCUGACUCCUGAUCUACCUUGACCAAAAGCAUGAACCUGGAGGGAAUUGUUUAGACAGGGCCUAGCCAAGGUGAAAUAUAAGAUGCUAAUUCAGCCCAAUGAACUGAUAUUUAAGUUUAAGCCUUUCAGGAAAAUAUAGUAGUUAUCUUACUGCUUCUUAUUUAAGUUUUUCUCUUAACAUAUAUUGUCAAUCUUUUGUUUUUUAAUUUUCUUUUCUAUGUGGAAAAAAUAAAUACCUGACUUGCAAUGUA